rnacentral:rRNA from 1 species
AACGAACGCUGGCGGCAUGCCUAACACAUGCAAGUCGAACGAGACCUUCGGGUCUAGUGGCGCACGGGUGCGUAACGCGUGGGAACCUGCCCUUAGGUUCGGAAUAACUCCCCGAAAGGGGUGCUAAUACCGGAUAAUGUCUUCGGACCAAAGAUUUAUCGCCUUUGGAUGGGCCCGCGUUGGAUUAGCUAGUUGGUAGGGUAAAAGCCUACCAAGGCGACGAUCCAUAGCUGGUCUGAGAGGAUGAUCAGCCACACUGGGACUGAGACACGGCCCAGACUCAUACGGGAGGCAGCAGUGGGGAAUAUUGGACGAUGGGCGAAAGCCUGAUCCAGCAAUGCCGCGUGAGUGAUGAAGGCCUUAGGGUUGUAAAGCUCUUUUACCCGGGAUGAUAAUGACAGUACCGGGAGAAUAAGCCCCGGCUAACUCCGUG